AUUCUUAAAUACAAACUAAAAACCUCUCAUAUUACCCUACCUACUAACUCCACUUUCAUCUCUUUCAGCAACCUCAUUUUCAUCUCUCUCCUCCCUCAACUCGCUACUCUUGCCACCAUUGUCCAUUCAUCCCACUGUCUUUGAUUUCAUCAUCAUCAUCAUCAAUUGAUAUGCUCCUUCCUCUACCCCGUCACCACUUCCAUCCUCCGUACUUUUUCCACCAUUACCACAUACGUCAUUUUCAUUCCCGUCCUCUAUCUUUUUGCAACGACCACUCUUUCAUUUUGAAUGACUCGAGCUUUUUCGUUGAUUUUAACGUUGUUAUAAUUUUGAUAUAACUGUUGAUAUAGUUACAGAAAUUGAUGAUUCCUGGUAUACAAAUUAGUGAUUUUCGCUAUAGAAAAUAGUGAUUUUCGCUAUAGAAAUUAGUGAUUUGAUGAAUUUAGUGAUUCUAGUAUAGAUAUUUAGUGAUAUAAGUCUUCUUGUUGUUCAAUUUUUGUGUUUUCUUGAGUAAUUCUGUUUUCUUCAUCAUUUUCAUUAGUGUUUGUAUUCUCUGACUGGUGGAAACUUGUCUUGUGAAACUUCAUUCUUUUUACUUUGCUCAGCCACCACUUCGUCAAACUUCUGGCUUCUCAAUCAUCCCAAUCAUCAUAUUGAUUAUCAAUUUUUUUUUACAAAAGAUUGAAUUAAAGAUGAAAAAUAUAUUCAUUAAAGAAGAUGAUGAAUGGUCAAUGGAGAGAGUGGGUUUCUGUUAAUACUUAAUCACUGUGUAUGUAUAGUGUGUGUAUCGCAUUUUAUUUAAUAUAAAAAAGCACGAGAUGUUAGCAGUAGUGGUAAAAAUAGUGGGCUAUAGUUUGUAGUUUGUAGAUUAAGUUAGUUUGUAGUGGAACAAGACUCUGCGUGUGUGUGAUUUAUAUAAUUAAUAAUAGAUUUAUUUGUAAUUUGUACCCCUUAAAUUUUAGCUAAAUUCACCCCACAUCUAGUAAUUUUAUGAUUAGCAUCCCCAUUUUAAAACACGCUACAUUUAACAACCUCUAGUCAUUUUUCCAUCAUGUUUUAACCAUUAGUGUUGGCCAAACACGGGUAUUUUAAGACCAUUUAUGACAAAAUGAAGGAAUGAAGUUCUUAGUUGUGUUGCUUAAGAAAAUGAUCUUCUACUACUACUAGACGAUUUCAAAGAGCACCAAAAUGUAACUAUUGCAAAGAAAUGGGUCAUAACUACAAGACAUGGAGCGCAAAGGUAACCGUUUAUGUAUGUCUGCAGUCUUCGUCUAAUGUUCAAAUUUUCUCACACUUGCUUCUUUUUUCUUUUCUUUUUUUUUUUGAAAGUUGAUAACAUGAAUAAGAAAAAACAAGCUACCCUUAAGAACAAAGAAGCUGAAAGGAGUAAAAAAAUUUGUGGAAACUAAUUUUUGUAUUGCAGUCAAAAUUUAACUGAGAAUAGCAUUACAUUCUUGUCUUUACAAAAAGUAGCAUAACAUUACAUUCUUGUCAAGAAAUACAUGAAUUACUUUGUCUACAAUAUCAUGUUGAUUACAUAUGAUAUACUAGAUGAACCAAGAACAAUGAGAAUUCCCAGUUUUCUUAUUAACUGUUUUGCCCAUGCUAAUUCCAUGGUAGCUUUUUCUUCUUCCAAUUGUUAAGUCUUCACAGCAAACCUGGAACAAUCAGUUAAGCUCAAGCACAUAAAGGCUCUUUCUCUAAUUUACAAAUGAUUUAAAAUAAAAUGUGACUUUGAGGGCUACACAUAUAACUUCAAAUAUGUAAAUAUAAGAGUUGGGCAAAUUUCCCGAAUACAAAUAUUGGAAAGUUUGAAGUUCCGUGCAUGAUCAGAUUCGUGGGCGUCUCUUUCGCUGUCUUUGGACUUCCAUUUCAUUCAUCCAGUCAGAAAGCCUCAAGAGGCCUUUGUAACCAAAAUAUGCUAUAGCAAUCAGCGAAAUGAUGAACACAGCUAGCAGAAAUACCCGCUUUAUAGUCGCAAACAUGUUCUGUUCAAAUGAAAAGCUGAUGUUAUUAAGCAAGCAAAUGAAGAUUGUUAUUGCCGAUUCAUACUUCUUACAUUUAAAGUCUAGUACGAAGCUGGUGUUGGUAGGCAAGGAAAUGAAGACUCUUAUUGCGAUUCAUACUUGUUACAACUAUGAGUUUAGUACGAACCUGCAGUCUUGAAACUUUCUGGCCUUCCUCUAAUCGUGCACGCCUUCUUCUACGUUUUGGCAAGUUUUUCUCGGGUUCUUCCUUCUGGUAAAUUAUUGACAUGGUUAGAUCAGUGCCUAAUUACAUUAAUGGAUCAUCAUGAUAUGUACACAACUUCACACUACAAAACAGCACUUUUAUUACCUGCCUAUAAAGGUCCAAAACAAUAAAUGUACUACACUUUUCUGAGUAGGAUGCAAGACUAGAAGGCAGAUGUACAUAUUAUGAUGAUUAUUCGAUUCUAAUUUGUAUAUCAAUAUCAGGUAUGAGUAGUAAAUUCCGAAGUUCAGAGAAUUCUUGACACCCUUUUUUUAGAAAAAUAAUUCAAAAAUAAUCAUGAGCACGCAUGAACUAUCAAAAUCAAGGCAUCACUACUAAUUAAAGUAAUUACCGAGUUGGUUGUCCAAUAUUGAUUUUAAGAUAUUGAUCAAUAUAAAUUUGAGGGAAUAAAUGCAAUCACAGAUCAGUAAAAAGCAGGGCAACAACGGCAGAGUUAACAUUCUGACACUGAACUUAAAAAGUAUAGUGUAUAACUUAUCCUUAGCCAAAGCAACAAAGGAGGCAAUUUACCAAGAGUAUUUACCAAAGUGCUUACCUCAAGAACUUCCGAUUUACGGAAUUUUAAUUCUGAAUCAGCAGGAGUUACUUUUUUUCUGCAAUCUGAAUUGCAAGGAAGAAGUCCCAAUCCAAACUGAGAUUUAGGAAUUUCUUUUGGAUCACGAUCAUCAUGGCAAUAAGCCAUUUGUACAUCCUUACACAACCACUCCUUUUUCAAUGUUUGACACCCGCAACGAACAGUAACCUUGCAAUCAAAAUUGAUUAUGAGAGAACUUUUAAAUAUUCAACUAUUUUUCAUGGAAGACCUGUACUCUUUUCAUGGAAGACAUUCUGCCAAAUAAUUGUACUAGUUCUACGAUUUUGGAGGCUCUUUCUAGAAUUAUGUUCUGUCUUACAUCCCAAAGUUGCUACAUAUGCAUAAAAGCUGAGGAUGCAAAACCUUAGCUAUUCCAAUUAUCUUUUAACUCUAGUUAUCUUCUGUUUCCUCUAACUUUCAGUUUACGCAAUUUCCAUAAUACAUAGAUCUAUAUAGAUGUCUAUAAUGCAUAGAUCCAAAUAAAUAUCGAAAAGUAUAGAUCCAAAUAAAUUUCAAUAACACUUAGACCCAAAUAGACUGAUAUAAAUUUUUGCAUAGCAUCCAAUAUAUAUUAAGAACCAUUGAUCGAGACACUAUUUUUUCCAACAUUCUUUGACUUUCGGUAAGGAAAAAUAUUAAUUCUUUUCUGCUUAAAAAUGUCAGGACCACUAAAUACUGAAAACCUGGCAUAGCAGUAGGCACACAAAAUAUGAUCAUAUAUGACUAUUCAAAAGAACUUAUUGGCCUGAAAGUAAGAGUGUAGACAGAUUUUCUCUAUACUACGAGGUAGUCUCAUACUGUGUUUUAUUGAUUAUAAUGUUGAAUAUUUAAUACUGUACUGUGAUGCAAAGGCUUUGGUUGAAAAUAUACAGAAACAGAAACAGUGGAGCAUCUUCUAAUAGGAUCUUCCACAACAUAGAAGGCCAAUACAUGAUGUAAGAUAGAGACAGAGACCUAAUUUAAUGAAAUAUUUAUACUGUACAGAAACAGAAUAUAGAUUACUGGUGUAUUUACCAUUUAUCUAUUUACUACACACAAAUUAAACUAGAGGCAUAUGCAGCAAUUCAAAAAAAG
rnacentral:lncRNA from 1 species